UACGUAGGGCGCAAGCGUUGUCCGGAAUUAUUGGGCGUAAAGAGCUCGUAGGCGGCUUGUCACGUCGAUUGUGAAAGCCCGAGGCUUAACCUCGGGUCUGCAGUCGAUACGGGCUAGCUAGAGUGUGGUAGGGGAGAUCGGAAUUCCUGGUGUAGCGGUGAAAUGCGCAGAUAUCAGGAGGAACACCGGUGGCGAAGGCGGAUCUCUGGGCCAUUACUGACGCUGAGGAGCGAAAGCGUGGGGAGCGAACCGG
rnacentral:rRNA from 1 species